UGAGGCUUUGGAAACUCCAUUGUGGAACUGGGUGGUGAACAUGUAGAUAUAAUCUGUCUAAACCUGUUAGAAAUCUAAUGGACGUAGGGUUAGAAAAAACUAAUCUGUUAUCCACUGGAGGGUGGAAAGCCGAGAUAGCCACCAGGUGAAUGUUGAUGGAACUACCGACAAGCCCUCGUUGUUUCAGGAACAGGAAAUAAUCUAGGAUACGAGGAUUCGAAGCUUGGGCUGGGAGGAUGCCUCUUUGUGCAUACCAUAUGGAGAAUCUCUUCUAUUUUGCAAGUUGCAAAUAGAUCCACCAGUGAGUACCCCACUGAUAGAAAAGGGCAUUGGACACAUCCAGACGAAGGAACCACUUGGGGUGGCCUGCAAACUAUCUGCUCAGGCAUUCUGCAAGGGUGUACUGAACCCCUGAAAGGAGGAAUGCCAUAUGAGCCAAAUAGCCCAGAGCUCUUUGAUAUUUAUAUGAAGAGUGAGGUCUACAAUGAUCGAUGCCCAUGAGCUUCAUGGGGGCCUAAGUGAGCUCCCCAACCUAGAUUUGAUGCAUCCGUGCCUAAAGAGACUGUCUGUCAAGGAGAAGCAAA